UACAGAGGUCUCAAGCGUUGUUCGGAUUCAUUGGGCGUAAAGGGUGCGUAGGCGGCGCGGUAAGUCGGGUGUGAAAUCUUGGAGCUUAACUCCGAAACUGCAUUCGAUACUGCCGUGCUUGAGGACUGGAGAGGAGACUGGGAUUUACGGUGUAGCGGUGAAAUGCGUAGAUAUCGUAAGGAAGACCAGUGGCGAAGGCGGGUCUCUGGACAGUUCCUGACACUGAGGCACGAAGGCCAGGGGAGCAAACGGG
rnacentral:rRNA from 1 species